AGUGAACGCUGGCGGUAGGCCUAACACAUGCAAGUCGAACGAACCCUUCGGGGUUAGUGGCGGACGGGUGAGUAACACGUGGGAACGUACCCUUAGGUUCGGAACAACACAGGGAAACUUGUGCUAAUACCGAAUGUGCCCUUCGGGGGAAAGAUUUAUCGCCUUUGGAGCGGCCCGCGCCUGAUUAGCUUGUUGGUGAGGUAAAGGCUCACCAAGGCUACGAUCAGUAGCUGGUCUGAGAGGAUGAUCAGCCACACUGGGACUGAGACACGGCCCAGACUCCUACGGGAGGCAGCAGUGGGGAAUCUUGCGCAGUGGGCGAAAGCCUGACGCAGCCAUGCCGCGUGAAUGAUGAAGGUCUUAGGAUUGUAAAAUUCUUUCACCGGGGAAGAUAAUGACGGUACCCGGAGAAGAAGCCCCGGCUAACUUCGUGCCAGCCGCCGCGGUAAUAC
rnacentral:rRNA from 1 species